GGGACAUUGAAUUACCCUAGGAAUUGUAAUAAAAAGUAUACAUUUUUCAUUUACAACCAAGUAGUCCCUGCCAAAGCUUGCAUAGUCACUUCCAAGCGCUUUUGUCUCGCUCUCAGUCUCAACUAAGCAACAAAAUUCAGCAACAAUAAGGAAUAAUAUUCCAAAAAUAAUUAACCAAAAUCAUAGCAAUAAGCAGCAACCCAGAGGUAAGGAUAAACAGAAUCAAAAUAUUUAUUUGUGACACAUUUAUUUUUGUCUGUACAAGUACAGUUCUCCCCAAUAUGUUUGAUGUGAAGAAAGGUGCUCGCCAGAUUCGCUUUAUAUGCAAUGUGAUAUACAAUGAUCCAUUUUUUUGGGACCUUAUCAAGAGCUACACCAUCUUUGUGGCAGCCAUACCCAUUGCCCAUACAUUUAAUGGACUAAAGUUAAUGUCAUAAUUAGUUUAGGGAGACACUCUAAAAUAUUUCUGUAAAUUCUAUCAACAUUAAUGGCAAACAGAACUUGUUUUGGAUUGGAUUGGGCAAGGCCCAUUACAAUUCUAUACAAUUCUAUAUGAUGUGUUCAGGUAAGGAUUACAUCAUAAACCAAAAACUCGUACUAAUUGUUUUGCCUUUCCAAUUUUAUUGCAGUCCAAAUCCGUUAAAUCGAAACCCUUUAAACCCUUCUAAAAACGUACCACAAAUAAAUUCUUCUGUUUAAUCUGUGCCCCCCAAAAACCCAUACCAUCCAUCAGCCAACAAAAAGGGUAUCAAAACGGG
rnacentral:lncRNA from 1 species